rnacentral:misc_RNA from 1 species
GAAAUGCGAUAAGUAAUGUGAAUUGCAGAAUUCCGUGAAUCAUUAAAUCUUUGAACGCACCUUGCGCUCUUUGGCAAUCCAGAGAGCAUGUCUGUUUGAGAAUCAGUUUAAAUCUCACUCCCCUAGGGCGACCUUUGUGGAGUGGCUUGGACUUUUCAGUGCAAAUUGAAAUGUCUUAAAUGCAAGUUGCCUGGUUUACCCUUUUUAAAGAAACCGGAAAGCAUGACCAAUGGACUGGCUUUUGCCGUGUUCUUGAUUGCUGAUAAUGGACUUUAUCAAGAGUAUUUUUUGGUAAAAUUUAAACACGGAAAUAGCUCGCUAUUUUUAAGACUUGAUCUCAAAUCAGAUAAGACUACCCGCUGAACUUAA